rnacentral:rRNA from 1 species
UACGUAGGAUGCAAGCGUUGUCCGGAAUUACUGGGCGGAAAGGGCGAGCAGGUGGCACUACAAGUCUGAUGUAAAAUCUCCCGGCUUAACUGGGAGGGGCCAUUGGAAACUGUAGAGCUGGAGUGCAGGAGAGGCUAACGGAAUUCCCGGUGUAGUGGUGAAAUGCGUAGAUAUCGGGAGGGACACCAGUGGCGAAGGCGGUUAGCUGGCCUGUAACUGACACUGAGGCGCGAAGGCUAGGGGAGCGAACAGG